rnacentral:sRNA from 1 species
UCUUCUUAAAAAUAAGUUCUUAGUUUAAUAGUUUCGAGAUUAUAUCGUAGAUCAAGUUUGCUUGAGUCUAUUACUCAUGUGCUUGGAUAUUAAUUUGUCGGUUGUAUCUUGGGAUUCAUAAAUCAUGAUUGUCUCAAAGUAUUUACAGCCGAUUUAAUAAAUUAAAGAAAAAUAUAUCAGAUCUUACCUCCGUGAUUUAUUUUAUGUCUUUAGAUCCAGUCAUUGUGAGUCUAUUACUCAUGUGCUCGGGUAUUAGUUUGUCGGUUGUAUCUUGGGAUUCAUAAAUCAUGAUUGUCUGAAAGUAGUUACAGCCGAUUUAAUAAAUUAAAGAAAAAGAUAGCAGAUCCUGCCUCCGUGAUUUAUUUUAUGUCUUUAGAUACAGUCGUUGUAAUUCAUUCAUGUUAUCGUUAUCUUAAUAAAAUUUGUAUUUUCUUCUCAACUUUGUUUUUGCGCUUCUACAAUCUUAAUUCAUUUAAUCGGCC